UUUUUAGGGCUCAACUUCUUCUUCUUGGUUGGAGGUUCAAUAAUCAUCGAUCUUUGUACACACAAGGUGAUGAUGAUAAUGAUUAUCAGAAAUCUUUCUUUUCUUUUAUCUUCCUUCUCUGAUUCAAUCUGUCUCUCGUUCUCUUCUCUAUUCCGAGAAACCCUGAGCUCGUUCUCUUCUCUAUUCUGAGAAACCCUGAGCUCUAUUGGCCGUAUUCUUUUAAAACCCGUACCAAAAAUUCAGUAGCCAAAAAUUGAGAUGAAGAACUAAAACUAAUGAACAAGAAGACGACUUCUGGAACUUCUAAAAGAUUGUGGGAUGUAAGGAGUGGGAAGAUCAUGCACACAAUAGAACUAGUUCACCUGUGAAAAGUACUGAAGUUAGUCAGGAUGGUCGUUAUAUCACCACUGCAGAUGGUCCCACUGUUAAAUUUUGGGAUGCAAAUCAUGACUAGUGAAGAGCUAUGACAUGUCAUGCACUGUGGAAUCGGCUUCAUUGGAACCGAAGCAUGGCAAUAAGUUUGUAGAUGCUGGAGAAGACAUGUGGAUACAACUGUUUGAUUUCCGUACAGGCGAGGAUAUUGUUGAAAGGGAUGGUAUUCGAGAUGGUGAAGGUAUUGCUGUAUAGUAGUACGGAAGGUGUGGGUGAUGGUGUAGUGACUUAUAGUAGUAUAUAUAGAGCCAGUUCUGGAGAUGGUGCAGAUGAUUAUGUUAGAAGGAGCAAAAGCUAGAACAGAGACUGUUGAUGCGUUGAGAAGUGGAUCUGUUGCAAUGAAGGCUAUGCAAAAAGCAACUAUCACUACAUGAAAGUUGAGCAGAGUUGGAGGAACAACUUCUACAACCUGCAAGUCAUAUUCCUGCAGCUCCAGUAUAUGUACCGGCAGGAAGGAAACUGACAUGACCUGCUCCUCAAAAGAAUAAAGCUGAGGAAGAUGAGUUGGCUGCACUAGAGGCAGAGAUGGCUCUCUGAACAGCACAAGGAGCUUCUUGCUACGGAACUUGCUGAAGAGGUGAGCGAAAGAAAAGAUGAAGGGGAGGCAAAGAAGGACAAGCAUGUAGUAAGUUAUCUUUUAUAACUAAUUAAUCUUAUAAUUAGUUAGUAUUCAUGUAGUUUUCAACUUCAUUGCACGAUAUAUAACGAACUCCUAGUUUCGCAACUGUUCGCACUGUUGCGACAAAUUUAUGUCGCAACAGUUUCGCACUGUUGCGAAAAUUUGCAACCUCGACUUUCGUAACUGUUGCGAAAAUUUGCAACCUCGACUUUCGUAACAGUUCAUAACUGUUGCAACCACGCUUUGUAACUGAAAUAUGCGGUUGCUAAUUAUGAAAAAUGGUGUAGUAUAUUUUCUAAAGAUAUGCACUUUAAUUGCUGGAAAUUAAAAGCAUAUAAAACUAAAAACCUUAAUUAAAAGAUUCUCAAUUUAUUUCGAUCCGGGAUUCUACUUUAGCUAUUAAGGAAUACCUUUGAACAAUAAGAGAUAAGAUUUACUCCACAUGUUCAAAGUAUGUCGAUAUCUUUACUUUGUAAAUCCUUUUCCAUAUUUACAAUCUUGGAACCGAUUUGCCACACUUUCAGACGAGUUUAGAAUUGGUU